GAUGAACGCUGGCGGCGUGCCUAGUACAUGCAAGUCGAGCGGACGGACGAGAAGCUUGCUUCUCUGAUGUUAGCGGCGGACGGGUGAGUAACACGUGGAUAACCUACCUAUAAGACUGGGAUAACUUCGGGAAACCGGAGCUAAUACCGGAUGAUAUUUUGAACCGCAUGGUUCAAAAGUGAAAGACGGUCUUGCUGUCACUUAUAGAUGGAUCCGCGCUGCAUUAGCUAGUUGGUAAGGUAACGGCUUACCAAGGCAACGAUGCAUAGCCGACCUGAGAGGGUGAUCGGCCACACUGGAACUGAGACACGGUCCAGACUCCUACGGGAGGCAGCAGUAGGGAAUCUUCCGCAAUGGGCGAAAGCCUGACGGAGCAACGCCGCGUGAGUGAUGAAGGUCUUCGGAUCGUAAAACUCUGUUAUUAGGGAAGAACAUAUGUGUAAGUAACUGUGCACAUCUUGACGGUACCUAAUCAGAAAGCCACGGCUAACUACGUG
rnacentral:rRNA from 1 species